UUGUGGAGGAGGACGCCGAAGGUGGGGCUAAUGACUGGGGUGAAGUCGUAACAAGGUAGCCGUACCGGAAGGUGCGGCUGGAUCACCUCCUAACAGGGAGACAACAAAAUGUUUAAUAUUAUUAUUUUGUCACCUUAGGUCGAUCGGUAUCUCACAUUCUUAAUUUAUUAAGGAUUUUAUUUCCUAAGUUUUUUCUAGGUCACACCCAUUACUUUUCCUGGGCCAUUAGCUCAGGUGGUUAGAGCGCACCCCUGAUAAGGGUGAGGUCCCUGGUUCAAGUCCAGGAUGGCCCAUAUCUCUAUGUUGGGGGUAUAGCUCAGUUGGUAGAGCGCCUGCUUUGCAAGCAGGAUGUCAGCGGUUCGAGUCCGCUUACCUCCACUGAUUACCACCUCUUACAUAAUUUUAUUAAGGAAAUGUUUUGAGUAGUGAUCAGAUUCUGAACGAAUCUAGCUUCCUAAUGAAAUCAUUAAGAUGCUGGACUCAUUGAAUUAAUUUCAUUGUUUUCAGAGAACCUUGACAACUGCAUAGAUUAUUUUUAAAGACAAUAAGCAUCUUUAAGAUGCAGACUUAUUAUUUGUGCGAAUGCAUUAAUAACAAUUCUAUUAAGCUGAUGCUUCAAUUAUGAAGUUAUUGGUCAAGCUACAA
rnacentral:misc_RNA from 1 species